rnacentral:tRNA from 1 species
GGAGAAGUACCCAAGAGGCCGAAGGGGCUCCCCUGCUAAGGGAGUAGGUGCAGUAAUGCACGCGGGUGUUCAAAUCACCUCUUCUCCGCCA